rnacentral:rRNA from 1 species
GACGAACGCUGGCGGCGUGCCUAACACAUGCAAGUCAAAGGGAAGCGACUUCGGUCGUGAGUACUUGGCGCAAGGGUGAGUAACGUAUAGGUAAUCUGCCCUUUGGACUGGGAUAACCUCGAGAAAUCGGGGACAAUACCAGAUGAUGCAGCGGGACCGCAUGGUACUGUUGUUAAAGAUUUAUCGCCAAAGGAUGAGCCUAUAUCCCAUCAGGUAGUUGGUAAGGUAACGGCUUACCAAGCCUACGACGGGUAGCUGGUCUGAGAGGAUGAUCAGCCACAUUGGAACUGAGACACGGUCCAGACACCUACGGGAGCUG